rnacentral:lncRNA from 1 species
AGCCAACGCUAAUCUUUUUAUUUCGGUGAAGUAAAAACAGCAAAGGAACAAAUAUUCAGGCUCAUAUUUUGGGGCUUCGGCAUUCUUUGGAUUUUGUCUUUUUUUGUGAGUGAAUAGCAAACAAGGAGAAGAAGAAGCUGCAGGACCUGUGAGUGAGAGCUUAAUAGAAGCCUAGUCGGUGCCUGGAGUCCAAAGGACAAUUCACUUGCAAGAACAGGAUGCCGUGCUCCAGGAAUUGCCAGGUCUCUGUUAAAGAAGAGCUGUUAAUUUGACUUCACUGCUUUGAUUUAACUUCCAAGAGUACAUGCGAUGAACUCUCAUAGCCUUCCGCCCGUGAGAAGAACCAUUCACUCAAUUUUGAGCAUGUCUAGCUCAGCUCCCAUGGAACUACCUAAAUGAAGAGUGUCACUGAAUGAAGAAUCUUCCAUCCCUGAAAUACUGAAAGGAUGAUGGCAAGCCUUAAUGACAAAGCAACAGAUGUGGCUGCAGUGAGGUCAUGUGGAUGUGUAGCUGUCAUCAUAUCAUACCGGCUGUAUGGGCCACAGAAGAAGUUGUGAGCAGAAGUUUCUUCUCAUGGAAGCAAUGCCAGGGUUUCACUUUUUAAAAUACGGCUCUUGAAAGCUGAAGACACCAAAGACAGAAGAAAAAGUUGGAGGGAAAGCCUGGGGGCAGGAAACCACCUUUACAGCUUCUGGGAUUUGUCUCAGCUCCUGAAAUCAAGAUCCAACGAUUACCUCAGGACUGUUUUCCUCAGAUUCCUGUUCCCAAGCUCUUAGGAGAAAUUCCUGAUUUGUUGAAAGGUAGAUAGACAAAUUGGAUCAACAGCACAAGUUUAGAGUUCGCUAUGGAGACUGUGAAACCUCUGACCAACAGCCCCAGGAGAUUAAAAUGCUUAUGCUCAACUUCUUGAAGUGCUCCACAAGCUCUGCUCUGCCCCAGCACUUGGUUGCAAAGUGGAAGAAGAACAGGAGAAUGCAAAGGGAAAUACAACCCUGCUCCAAGCUUCCUUCUCCCCUCCCUAAAUGCUGGAGGGAUGACUGUUCAAUUAUCAUCCACACCUGUAGGUAGGUAAAAGGAGAUAAAGGCAGAGAUUUGCUCUACCUCUGUUGUCUCUGUCACUACGUCCU